GACUCUCGAAAACGAAUAUCUGGGCUUUUACAUCAAUAAAGAACAUAACAAAAUGUGAUACUUUGUGUGAAUUGUGGAUUCAUAUGAAUUAUCGAAUCUUUAGAUGCAAGUUGCUCGAUCGAAGCCAUUAGACCGAGGGCAUGUAUGCCUGGGCGUCA
rnacentral:rRNA from 1 species